AUUCUGUCACCCAGACUGGAGUGCAGCAUCACUAUCUGGGCUCACUGCAACCUCUGCCUCUGGGUUUCGAGCAAUUCUGGUGCCUCCGCCUUCUGAGUACCUGGGACUACAGGUCCAAAAGGGAGUGUGGUUUCAAAGGCAAGGCCUUCCCAGUGCCAUACCUCCACUUACUUCUCCAUCCAGGAGCUUAGAGGUCUUUGUUUAACUUUCACGCAUGCGGGAAGAUGGACUGCCCAGAGAUGAUGAUACGGAGGCCGAGAAAUUCAGAGAAUUUUCUAACAUUGAUAUAGGACCAACACCUCUGGCACAGACUAUCCAGGAAGGGCCACUGUGUUGCUCAGCUCUGCAAGGGACUACUCAAGUUGUGUGCUAUGUAUGUGGCUGGUACCCUUUGCAACAUAAUUCCAGACAUGGUUUUAUGCACAGGCUCAAUUUCUUACCAAUAUUUCUGAGUCAAAAUUCAGGACCUACAGAAGUGUCUCUGAAGGCAGUAAACUCCACCGCCUCUCCAAGACUUUUCUGACAUGUGACCCUGGGAGCAAAGGCAAGACCUCUGAAAAGGGCAAUCGUUUUAUCCCCUGCAUUCUAUUGAAUAAAAUGUAGAUGUGUGUGUAUUUACCCUAGAGU
rnacentral:lncRNA from 13 species